GCAUUAAUGGGGUAGUGGUAACCUGGGUCGUUGCCAUCGGUCGACGUCGUAUCGACCCGCCGGGGGUUCGAUUCCCCCUUAAUGCA